rnacentral:lncRNA from 1 species
GCUUUCUUUGGCUGUCACUCAUGCUUUGGGGACAAAGCUCAGGCUGGAGGUUGAGGAGAGGCAGAGGCCAGGGAGCGGGGGCUCCUUUCUCUCGGGGUCAGUCUCCAGCAGCGUCUCUACUUCCCAGGAGGCAGCCACACAAGGUCAAAGCCCAACAGGAGCUUAGAAAAGAUAGUCCAAUGCUAUCAUUUUACAGAUGGGACCAAUGAAGCCUCCAGGGUACCAUGACUCACCAAGGUCACACAGCUACUGGCAGAGCUGGGACCUGAAUCCAGGAGUCCUGGCUGUCAGGUCAGCGUUGGGAACUGAUUUUUAUAUGCAGCCUGUCCUCCCUCCUGGGGGCCUCUCGGUAUGAUGUGAUCAGGAAAUCUCUAUGCGGUUAGACCAGGUCUGGAUGGUACAUGGAGAGGAGUGGGUAGGCCUGGGUGAGGAUGGGACAGGGUGCUCCCCAGACAGGGGUGCCAUCAGCAGACAAGUUGGGCAGGCAGGGCUGGGCCUGGCCUAGGAGAGGCCCUGCUCCAAAGAGCAAUGUCAUGUGGAGGGGACAUCUUGCUCCCACACAACCGCCCGGGGCCAGGCUGAACCCCACCCAUGCAACAGCUGCAUUGCCCCAAGCUACAGAGGAGCCUAUGAGGGGAGCCAGAAGCCUAGGCAGGGGUGAGAGGGAGGGGGCCGGACAGGUAGGAGGGCAGAGGGAGGGGGAGCUGGAGGAGGACAAAGCUGGCCUGUGUGGCACCUGGGACAAUCCCAGUCUCUGCCCUGUCCCCUCCCUGAUCCUGCUCUGGAUGGGGCGGGAACAAUGCCCCCAUUGAGGCCCAUACCCCCAGGGAUAACAUCUCUGUCCCCCAUGAUGGAAGCCAAGCAGGAACGCCCAGGACCCAACCCCUGAUCAUAGGAGCUGCCACUGUGGGAAGAAGGUGCCUGAGAGAUGAGGCCUGACCCUCUUCCUUUAGGAGAGACGCCACAGAGGAAGCAGGUGGAGCGUGGGUCUAUCCGGGAAGUAACAAGUGCCCCUGCAAUGCGUUUUCAUGUCAGAAAUAGAAAUGGCUCAUCACCUAGUUGGGGCACCAACUGGGUUCCUAACCCAAAGACUCCAAAUAAAAGAAGAAGCUGCAUUUGCUAUCAUUUUUUAAAAUUUUGUUUUGUAGAGAUGGGGUCUUGCCCCCACGUUGCCCAGGCUGGUUUCAAAUUCCUGGCCUCAACCCAUCCUCCCGCCUCGUUGUCCCAAAGCACUGGGAUCACAGGGGUGA